rfam:Triticum aestivum genome assembly, contig: Triticum_aestivum_CS42_TGACv1_scaffold_423811_5BS
GUAGUACUCCCUCCGUCCCAAAAUUCUUGUCUUACAUUUUUCUAGACACCGAUGUAUCUAAUACUAAAAUGUGACUUGAUACAUCCGUAUUUAGACAAAUCUAAGACAAGAAUUUUGGAACGGAGGGAGUACUCC